GCCAGAAGCUAGUUGGGGUGCUGGACAGCAGGGGCUACCAACAGCUUUCCUAGCUUUUGGAGAUGCAUCCCUAAAUAUUCCCUUGGCUCAGAGCCACAUAAUGCAUCCUGCACCAGCUGAGAGCAGGGUGGAUGAAGGAGUGCCAGGAUAGCUGAAACCUCUCUGAUGUCCCACUUGACUUUGGUGCAUCUUAACACACUGUUCCCAAAGACAAGAAGUCCUACAGCAGGUUCCUGUUGGUGUGUCAUAUGUUCUUCUGCCAACAGUGGAAGCAGAUGUGUCCAGCUGCUUGCAGUCCUGCUGCAGGAUGGCCACUUGUCCUAUCCCAUCUCAGAGCCUUGGAGUUAGGAACCAAAUGUGACUGCAUACCUCAGUGUGAGGCUUGGGAUCAGCUUUGCUGGCACUCUGUUGCUAAGCAGAUGGGCUGCUGCAUUUGUACCCAAUGAAGUUGUUUCAGAGAAGGUGGCU
rnacentral:lncRNA from 1 species